ensembl:lncRNA
CCGACCUGGCACAGCCUCACCAGGGAAGACACCCAGCAUCUGAUGUCAGCACCGACCUGGCACAGCCUCACCAGGGAAGAUACCCAGCAUCUGAUGUCAGCACCGACCUGGCACAGCCUCACCAGGGAAGAUACCCAGCAUCUGAUGUCAGCACCGACCUAGCACAGCCUCACCAGGGAAGAUACCCAGUGUCUGGUAGGGUCAGCACUGACCUGACACAGCCUCACCAGGGAAGAUACCCAGCAUCUGAUGUCACUACCGACCUGGAACAGCCUCACCAGGGAAGACACCCAGCGUCUGGUAGGGUCAGCACUGACCUGGUAGAGUCAGGGCCACAUAGACUUGCGGGAGUUGCAAAGGAUGUGGUUGUGACCAGAUACUAAACGCAAGUUCUGUCCCAAUACUUCAUGUGCUCUUAAAUAGUACAGCUUAGAAAUGUGGUCAUUUCAAAAUGGUGAAACCAAUAUAUACACACACACCAUUGAAUAAUAAAAGGUUUAAAAUACCAUUCACUUAACUUUCAAAUAUUCAGAAACUAUUUCAAUUUCAGAAAAAACAUUUGUGUAAGUGGAAAACAUUCCCUUCUCUCAAUAAUUACAGAGGACAAUGCAUGUAUUUGUGCCUUUGUUGAGCUUCACAAUCAGUUUAAAAUUAUUUUGACUGAUUUAGCAAUUUUCCAUGUAUAACGCUACUAUCAGUACUUGGACUUGAAUGGGAUUCCUGCCACAAAUGCGAAAAGGUCAGCAUUUUGAAGUUAAAACAAACUUUGAUGGCGUACCUUGCCCACAAACAGCUUACAAAGAUGAAAAAUGUAAUUUUGGUGAACUACCUUUAAGUGAGAUGGGGUGGGAGGGGAUUUGUUUUUGUAUAGAAGUCAGUGUUUACAGUCAUCUCUCCUGAAACUCAGAUAUUAGACAUGGCUCAAGGUUAUAUCAGUGCAGUUGUAUUAAUCAGUGGAUCUGGGAGAAUUUGUUAGGUAGUAGCCUCUAAGACCAGGCAAGACAUGGAGGCAUGACAUCACAAAACUAGGUAGGUCAUAAUACUGCCACCAUGUCCGGUGAUUGGAUUAGUCACUUUGCCAAUUUCUAACGUGUCCAUUGUGAUACGGUAUGGUUUGAUACGGUAUGGUUUUUCGUUUACACCAUCUUGCAACUAUGUACACAAGUAAACAAAAUAUUAAAUGUGGGCACAAGACACGUGUGAACUUGCAAUAAAAAUGUUAUAUAUACCUAUAUCUCUGUAUGUAGUUAUAUAGUUUCCAGUGCUAUGCAGAGAGGGCUGAAAUGCUUCUGGGAUUGUUUGAUUAAUCACAGUUUGAGUCUUCAAUUCCAUUGGUAAGUACAAAUGUAGGUUUGGUUCUAGCCACGUUUGAUGGGGUGCUUGGAGUCCCUACUCCAAAUCAGUUAUUUAUCAGCCCUCCCGGCCUG